GCUGGGAUUACAGGCAUGAGCCACUGUGCCCAGCCAUCCCAGCAUUUUAAGUUUGAUAUUUUGUACUCCAUGAGUCAAAGCUUGGGUGAGGAAUCACAAAAGGGCAUAACCAAUGGGAAGAUUUUGUGUCCAGAGAAGGCCUUGCAUAUCCGUUAUUUUAUAAACAGAGACAAUGAGGCCUGGGUAAGUUUAAUAAUCUGUCAAUGACAGAGCAGAAACCAGCAUCAUGAUGUGCUGAUGGCGAACAAUGAAUUUUGUCUUCCUAAACUACAAAGUCAAGCAAAAACCUCUUUUUAUUUUAUUUCAUUUGUUUCAAAUAGCUGUGAACAACCAUUCAUAACCCAGAAAGUCUAGAAAAGGUGUGAAAAAUAAUGAGUUUUUACUUAUAGGUAGAUGGACCUGUAGAGUUUGAAAGAGGUCAGGAGCAGGAGCCGCAUGGAGCAGGAGGUGGGUCAGGCAUUUGUCUACCUGCCUCUCCUGUGCCUGCCCUUGUGGAAGUCAGCGAGUCCCCCCUGGGGAAUCUGUCUUUGUUCUGGCACACCCCAUAAUAGGGAAGGAAAAUGCUCAAGAAUUCUUGGGUUUUUUUGUUUGUUUGUUUGUUUGUUUUUGGUAUAGUGGUUUGUUUUAUUAAAACAAAAUAAUGUGUUUCUUUAAGUGCUUGUUUCAGAGGUGAGCUUGGUACUUCACUUGCACCUGUGGCAUUUGAGGCACGGCUGAGUUAAUAUAUCCUUAUCAGCAGGCAGCACUGCCCUGGUAUGUUAUCAGAAAAGACAGCUAUUAGUGGUAACAUGCAGGAUCCAGCCAGGCACUUCCUCAACUGGCUGGGGAGAACUUCUGCAGCUCCGGUGAUAUCUCACUUCGUAUUUACAGUCCCCGGCCCUCCGUGGCUUGGGAGCACUCCAUUGCUGCCUAUCAGCCUGCCCAGCUGAGCAUCAGCAGCCUUGGGUUUGCUGAGAACUCAACUUUCUUUCCCUUUAUCUGUUUUCUUUAACUUUUUUUUUUUUUUUUUUCUAAAAGUCCAUUUUAUUGCAUCACCAGCCCAGCAGUGCAGGCAUUGCUUGAGGAAAGGUGCAGCAUGGAUUAGGCUGAUUUGCUCCCUGAGCUCUUGGGAGAGGAGGGCACAGCAGGAUCCUGCUCACUGGCUUUCAGCAGCAACUGACUUUUUGGCUUUAGAAUGUUAACAUUUGUGUGGUCUCCUCUCUGUCAAUGGACAGCAUACUUUUUGCCCUGUUCCUUGGUCUCUCAGUACACAAAAGGAGGUCUAGAAACUGGAUAAACUCUCAGUUGGAACUGUUUUUUAACUCUGCAAGAAAGCCACCAGGGCCUGUCCUGUCCUUCCAGCCUUCUGUCUUUACACCUCAGUCUGUACUAGUGAUUUUCAAACUGAGUGUUUGCCCAACCAGAGGUCUUAAAUCAAUUCAGUGUCAUAAACAUUUUGUUUUUUUCCUUAACGAAAUGGUGAACAGAAGAAAGACUGUCAGUAUAACAUACAUAGUCAAGAUUAACCAUUGUUUUGUUGGAAACUUAAUAAUUGCUAAGCUGGCCUCCAAUAACAACCAACCCCAAAUAAAUAAAUACAUACAUAAAUACUGCUCUGCAAAGGUAAUAUCAAGAUGACAGAGAAGAAAACGUCAGGAAAUGGUCUUCCUGCCUAACCAACUGCACUGGCAGAAUCUGCCUGAUGUGACUAUUUUGGAACUCUGGAGUCUAUUGAAGGUUUCUGGUUUCCAGCCCUUAUAUACAGGUGUCUAAACCCAUAUGUAAAUGUGGAUGUGGGUCAUAGUCAAAAUAAGUCUGAAAAACACUCAUCUACAGUAUCUUCUAUCCAUAGAUGUAGCUUGGCUCGGCAAAUUUCUAACACUCAGACAUUUAGAUAUCAUAAAGCCGGUCCUGCUCUCCCGGCCUUGACUUUGUACCUUAGUCUGGGAAUAGAUUCUGCCUCUGCCUGACGGGAAUGGAUGUGAAUGCAUGUUUACUUAUUUCUACUUGAAAAAGGACACAGAAGCAGCCUACUUCAGCUUCUUACUUUUGUUGCGCUGGGGCUCAACUGCUGGGAAGUGGACUAGCAACAUAAAAACCAAAGGCCCUUCUUUGCCGCUGUGUCUACGUAGAAUGGUUGGGAUUUGGUUUCCAGAGGCCCAAAGGACUAUCUCAUGAAAAGUGUUUCGAAUAUAUUUCUGCUUGAUGUGUUUAGCUUCCUGGGCCCACUGAGCCAUCAUGUUUUCUCAAUUUAAUCACUUGGUGGUCUCCAGGAUUCAGAGCGCACUUUUACAGCAGUCUCCCUAGUUUGACCAACCUCGUGAGAUUUCAGAAUACCAAGAGAGUGACAGGAGUAGGAUGGUACUCAAUAAGUGAAGCUCAGAAAUCUUUUGUGCCCUCAUAGUGAAAAUUCAGCCCUUUAGCUCCUGCUGCCCAGCGCGGUACCCCAGCUACAUCCCAGUUCUAGUCCCCAGUUCAUAGCAGCCCCACUCAGCAGCACCCCAGUCCUGUCCCACCCAAAUGGCUGCUAAGAGUCAGAAACAAACUGAACACUUGUUUUAGAAUUAUGCCUGUUUCUGCAACAAUGCUUUUUCUGUGGUUAUGUGGCAAGAUUGUUCAAUAGAAUUGUUUAUUUUUCUCUCUGACGAUUUUGUUCUUGCUUAGUUUGCAGAUAUAAAAAGAAGAGUGUUUUUGGCUAUUGAUGGUGUAAAAACCACGGGCCAUCUUUCAUUCCAUUUUUCUCUAGCCUCAUCUCUCCCUGCAGGGUUAAUCUUGGGCUCCCUGGCUCAUGAGUUUAUUGCUGUCUCUUACAAAAAUAAGUUCCACUUCUCCCUUAUAGGCUGGCACUGAAGUGCCAGGAAGGAGGCAGCCCUGGUGAUCUUAGCCAUGUGACACUUGGGUGGGGCCUUCAUCUGUCUCAUGUUUGCAAGGGUGGGAGAAUGGGCCCUGCUGCCACCUCAAGCUGCUCUCCUGCUGCAGUCUUUCUCCUGGCCUAGCAUUUUAUUUGAUAUGGUAUAUUCCAUUUGUAAGGCCUUAGGGCUCAGAGAGAAAGCUCCGUUCUUCAUCUUCUGAAAGCCCAAGAUAUAGCCUAUUCCCUUUCUUCUGAGCUUUGUCAUCUUGAAUCAGUGCCCAGGCCAGAAACAUGAGCAGCACGGCACCUAGCUUUAUUCGCUCACAGAGCUGUACCUUCUGUCCUAGCAGCAGUGGGACCUUGUCUCCCCCAACCAGGUGUUUGCCAUCAUUGAGACACCCUGCUUCUGCUGUCCCUAUGCCACAUCUCUUGUACAUUCCCUUGAGGCUGUUUGUAAAUUAAAGCUAGCACCUCUUAGUUCUGCCUUACUGCAGGAGGAGAGACACAGAUACUCCAUGACUCCUCCCCCAGAUGUUCAUCAUUUUCGUUUCCUAUGUCCGUAGCCCAGUUCCACUUUCUGUGGAAUUAUGUGAGUAAUUAUGUAGCCUCAUAAUUACAGCUACAGUGCAGAUUUCUUUGAAAAUAUUUGUAAGUCUCGAUAUCAAAAUGUAGUAUAUUUCAUGGUCUGUCACAGAUGACCACUGUUAGUGGUAAAUAUACUUGCAUAAUUAACAGGUUGACUCAAAGAAAGGCAGUCUCAUUUGGUUAGUGAGCACUUUGCACAGAAUACUGUGGUUGGAUACAAAAAGAGUAUGAAGGAUAGGAAUACGAAGGAUAGGAGUCUGUCUUCAGAGGCAGAUUGGUUGUGGGGGUCAAAGAGGAUUUUGAGGUUCUGAGCACGGGACUUGCUAAGAGUGAUAACGAUGAUACAGAAUAAUAACAGGAUAUAGUGAACCUCUGCAUGUGGCAGGCAUCAUCCUGAAUAACCUCUCCUAGUUCAUACAGCAACCUUAAGCAGUGGAUAUAUUAAAAUACCUGUUUGACAAGUAGGGAAACGAGACUUUGUGAGUAAUUUGGUCAAGGCCACACAGCUGAUAAGUGAUAGAGUUGGGAUGUGAAGCUGGGUCGUUUCGGCUCCGGGCACCUAAUACUUCAUCAGUAUUCUGAGGUGUCUGCUUUUUUUUUUUU